UACGUAGGGUGCAAGCGUUGUCCGGAAUUAUUGGGCGUAAAGAGCUCGUAGGCGGUCUGUUACGUCGCUGUGAAAACCUGGGGCUCAACCCCGGGCCUGCAGCCGAUACGGGCAGACUAGAAUUCGGUAGGGGAGACUGGAAUUCCUGGUGUAGCGGUGAAAUGCGUAGAGAUCGGAAAGAACACCAACGGCGAAAGCACUCUGCUGGGCCGACACUGACACUGAGAGACGAAAGCUAGGGGAGCGAAUGGG
rnacentral:rRNA from 1 species